AGCAGCCGCGGUAAUUCCAGCUCCAAUAGCGUAUAUUAAAGUUGUUGCAGUUAAAAAGCUCGUAGUUGAAUUUCGGGGUUAGUAGGCUGGUCGUGCCACUGGUACGUACUGGUCUCACUGAUUCCUCCUUCCUGAUGAACUGUAAUGCCAUUAAUUUGGUGUUGCAGGGAAACUGGACUGUUACUUUGAAAAAAUUUAGAGUGUUUAAAGCAAGCUAACGCUUGAAUACAUUAGCAUGGAAUAAUGAAAUAGGACGUUCGAUCCUAUUUUGUUGGUUUCUAGGAUUGACGUAAUGAUUAAUAGGGAUAGUUGGGGGCAUUAGUAUUCAAUUGUCAGAGGUGAAAUUCUUGGAUUUAUUGAAGACUAACUACUGCGAAAGCAUUUGCCAAGGAUGUUUUCAUUAAUCAAGAACGAAAGUUAGGGGAUCGAAGACGAUCAGAUACCGUCGUAGUCUUAACCAUAAACUAUGCCGACUAGGAAUCAGACGAUGUUAAUUUUUUUCAAUGACUCGUUUGGCACC
rnacentral:rRNA from 1 species